rnacentral:rRNA from 1 species
AUACGGAGGAUGCGAGCGUUAUCCGGAUUUAUUGGGUUUAAAGGGAGCGUAGGUGGGAUAUUAAGUCAGCUGUGAAAGUUUGGGGCUCAACCUUAAAAUUGCAGUUGAUACUGGUUUCCUUGAGUACGGUACAGGUGGGCGGAAUUCGUGGUGUAGCGGGGAAAUGCUUAGAUAUCACGAAGAACUCCGAUCGCGAAGGCAGCUCACCGGGCCGGAACUGACACUGAUGCUCGAAAGUGCGGGUAUCAAACAGGAUUAGAUACCCUGGUAGUCCGCACAGUAAACGAUGAAUACUCGCUAUUUGCGAUACACGGUAAGCGGCCAAGCGAAAGCGUUAAGUAUUCCACCUGGGGAGUACGCCGGCAACGGUGAAACUCAAAUGAAUUGACGGGG